rnacentral:tRNA from 6 species
GGACUAUUAGCUCAGUAGGUCAGAGCCGUCAGCUCAUAACUGACAGGUCAUCGGUUCAAUUCCGGUAUAGUCCA